rnacentral:rRNA from 1 species
UACGGAGGGUGCAAGCGUUAUCCGGAUUCACUGGGUUUAAAGGGUGCGUAGGUGGGUUGGUAAGUCCGUGGUGAAAUCUCCGAGCUUAACUCGGAAACUGCCGUGGAUACUAUCAAUCUUGAAUAUCGUGGAGGUAAGCGGAAUAUGUCAUGUAGCGGUGAAAUGCUUAGAUAUGACAUAGAACACCAAUUGCGUAGGCAGCUUACUACACGAUCAUUGACGCUGAGGCACGAAAGCGUGGGGAGCAAACAGG